rnacentral:lncRNA from 1 species
UUGAACAGGCAGUAAGAGAAUAUUUGCCAUGUAAAAUUUGCCAAACAGACUUUGGUCGUAUCACUGAUAUUUGGUGCCAACAACCAUGAGCUGGGACUGUGAGCUAGGACUAUCCUUAGUUUUCACUGUGUACUAACUAAACUGUUUAACACCAAUGAGAGAAAACACUACCUUGUUUAGCAUCAUUGUCCUAAAUAUUUUUGUAGUAGCAAAACAGGAUAACUUGUAAAAGGCAAAUCAUAAGGAAAGCACUAGUCAUUAGAGGCAUAUAUGUGAUAUCAGAUUUGUUGAACUGUUGCUUAUGGAGUAUCCUCACACAACCAUGUGACUCUCAGCUUGAUAGUAUUGGAGCAAAUGACGAGUGGAGAACGCAGGUUCACAAAGCUUCAAGCAUCCAUUUUGGGACUUAAAUUAUCUUCAUUCCUGCUUAUAUUUAACUA